rnacentral:sRNA from 1 species
UAAUCUAGUAAACCUACAUAAACUAUUCAAAAAAUAAAACUCAAUUUGGAAGAACAAAGCACAAAUUCCAGUGUCUGAAUGUAAUUUGUUGGCCAAUACCUUGAAUCAAAAAUUGUAACAUUCAUUGCAAUGGAAAAUACCUAAAACCACUCAGCGUCAAAGUUGGUAGAACUAUCGAAUCCAACUAUUGGUAACAAUUACAUCAUUUCAUAGACAGAACGAAAUUGAACAAGCUCUUUUUGGACGGGGGAAUGAUGGCUCCUGGGGACGCUGCUCUUGUGCCCAAAACUCGCUGGAACAAUUAGCUCAAAAGGUUGGGGGUUUUUGGGGCUCGGAAUGAUUCAAAGAGCGCGUCGUCGACAACUGAAGCCCUAUGAAAAAGUUUCAGUUUUUGCGCAAACAAAUUGGAUUAUUCGAUUACGUGUUUGUACAAGCGCAUUGUGCGACCAAGGGGAAGGCGGGCCGACCGGGGUGGAGUGCUGGAAAAUCAGUAAUGCUGUAAAUUGCAUUUCCCUUCAGGGGUUAGACAAUAUCCCCGGGGUUUCAGAAAAAUAGACGGAUGGCGUUUGAUGGAGAGGUGGAGCAGGAAAAUCUGUCAAUUUUAUGGGGAAAGCGCAGCGUUAAAUGCAUAAGCGGAAGUCAAAGUAUUUUUUGUUUUGAUAGAUGAGACUUGGAGGAAGUUAAGGAUGGCAUUUCUGACGGAAGUCCAGGAUUAAGUAAUCUCCAAGGUGGGAAAAUUUCAUCUAUCAAACGCCGGGAAAAAAUGGGUCAUUGGAAAAAGAAUCCCCUAAAGUCGAUUCAGAGGUUUUUUGCGCAAAAAAAUAUGAAUAAGAACAAUUGACCGACCUAAUCUCAGCUGCCUCUGAAAGAACAUAUUGAACCUUGGAAGGAAGGACUGCUCCUUUUCCCCCACUGAGUCAAGAUGAGCAAGGAGCAAGUGGCAAAAAGUGAGGAGAUGCACGUGCCAAAAGUCUCAAGUUUAGCUGUUGCUGUGGCUACUCGCAAAAAAUUUGCUCCGGGCGCUUUUAGCAAAAGUGUAACGAAGGACGGGGGACUGCGACUGGCAGGAAGGGCAUGAAGGACGAGGUGGCAGCCGGAAAAUUGAGGAAAAACUGAGACUGGGUUGGGAUGAGCACACAGAGAUGACGACAGCUUGGGCUUGUCAUGGCAGAACGCGACGUGAGCGGUGGCUUGGCCUUUGGCAAUUUUCUUAUUGCAUGCAUGUGGCAGCUAAAAAAAUACUGGCCAGGAACAAAACGUAGAGGGCAAAAAGGAUUGGGCCGGUAACGACAAAUAGUGUUGCAUAUUUAUGUGCGCAUCCACACAAAACAGGACUUUUGUAAUUAAAACGAGAGUGAAAAUGGUUUACUAUG